UGGGGAAUAUUGCACAAUGGGCGAAAGCCUGAUGCAGCAACGCCGCGCGAGUGAUGAAGGCCUUCGGGUUGUAAAGCUCUGUCUUUUGGGACGAUAAUGACGGUACCAAAGGAGGAAGCCACGGCUAACUACGUGCCAGCAGCUGCGGUAAUACGUAGGUGGCAAGCGUUGUCCGGAUUUACUGGGCGUAAAGGAUGCGUAGGCGGAUUUUUAAGUGAGAUGUGAAAACCCUAAGCUUAACUUGGGGACUGCAUUUCAUACUGGAAAUCUAGAGUGCGGGAGAGGAGAAUGGAAUUCCUAGUGUAGCGGUGAAAUGCGUAGAGAUUAGGAAGAACACCAGUGGCGAAGGCGAUUCUCUGGACCGUAACUGACGCUGAGGCAUGAAAGCGUGGGUAGCAAACAGGAUUAGAUACCCUGGUAGUCCACGCCGUAAACGAUGAGUACUAGGUGUAGGAGGUAUCGACCCCUUCUGUGCCGCAGUUAACACAAUAAGUACUCCGCCUGGGAAGUACGAUCGCAAGAUUAAAACUCAAAGGAAUUGAC
rnacentral:rRNA from 1 species